rnacentral:rRNA from 1 species
AUUGAACGCUGGCGGCAGGCUUAACACAUGCAAGUCGAGCGGGGUGAUGGUGCUUGCACUAUCACUUAGCGGCGGACGGGUGAGUAAUGCUUAGGAAUCUGCCUAUUAGUGGGGGACAACAUCUCGAAAGGGAUGCUAAUACCGCAUACGUCCUACGGGAGAAAGCAGGGGAUCACUUGUGACCUUGCGCUAAUAGAUGAGCCUAAGGCGGAAUAGCUAGUUGGUGGGGUAAAGGCCUACCAAGGCGACGAUCUGUAGCGGGUCUGAGAGGAUGAUCCGCCAGACUGGGACUGGGACACGGCCCAGACUCCUACGGGAGGCAGCAGUGGGGAAUAUUGGACAAUGGGGGGAACCCUGAUCCAGCCAUGCCGCGUGUGUGAAGAAGGCCUUAUGGUUGUAAAGCACUUUAAGCGAGGAGGAGGCUCUUUUGGUUAAUACCCAAGAUGAGUGGACGUUACUCGCAGAAUAAGCACCGGCUAACUCUGUGCCAGCCGCCGCCGUAA